rnacentral:rRNA from 1 species
UACGAAGGGGGCUAGCGUUGCUCGGAAUCACUGGGCGUAAAGCGCACGUAGGCGGCUUUGUAAGUAAGAGGUGAAAGCCCAGAGCUCAACUCUGGAAUUGCCUUUAGACUGCAUCGCUUGAAUCAUGGAGAGGUCAGUGGAAUUCCGAGUGUAGAGGUGAAAUUCGUAGAUAUUCGGAAGAACACCAGUGGCGAAGGCGGCUGACUGGACAUGUAUUGACGCUGAGGUGCGAAAGCGUGGGGAGCAAACAGG